rnacentral:rRNA from 1 species
ACGCUCGACACCUACAGGAGGCAGCAGUGGGGAAUAUUGCACAAUGGGGGAAACCCUGAUGCAGCGACGCCGCGUGAGUGAAGAAGUAAUUCGUUAUGUAAAGCUCUAUCAGCAGGGAAGAAAGUGACGGUACCUGAGUAAGAAGCCCCGGCUAACUACGUGCCAGUAGCCGCGGUAAUCUGAGCGGGCGUGGCAAGGC